rnacentral:rRNA from 1 species
CUAGUGAUAGGUAUACUUUAGGAGGGGCUUGCGCCAUAUUAGUUAGUUGGUAGGGUAAUGGCCUACCAAGACGAUGAUGUGUAGCUGGACUGAGAGGUUGAACAGCCACAUUGGGACUGAGACACGGCCCAAACUCCUACGGGAGGCAGCAGUAGGGAAUUUUCGGCAAUGGAGGAAACUCUGACCGAGCAACGCCGCGUGAACGACGAAGUACUUUGGUAUGUAAAGUUCUUUUAUCAAGGAAGAAAAGCAAGUGGUGAACCAUUUGUUUGCCGGUACUUGAUGAAUAAGCCCCGGCUAAUUAUGUGCCAGCAGCCGCGGUAAGACAUAAGGGGCAAGUGUUAUCCGGAAUUAUUGGGCGUAAAGGGUGCGUAGGCGGUCUAGUAAGUCAGUGGUGUAAUGGCAACGCUCAACGUUGUCCGGCUAUUGAAACUGCUAAACUUGAGUUAGAUAGAGGCGAGUGGAAUUCCAUGUGUAGCGGUAAAAUGCGUAAAUAUAUGGAGGAACACCAGAGGCGUAGGCGGCUCGCUGGGUCUUAACUGACGCUGAGGCACGAAAGCGUGGGGAGCAAACAGGAUUAGAUACCCUGGUAGUCCACGCCGUAAACGAUGAGUACUAAGUGUCGGGUUAAACCGGUACUGAAGUUAACACAUUAAGUACUCCGCCUGAGUAGUACGUACGCAAGUAUGAAACUUAAAGGAAUUGACGGGACUCCGCACAAGCGGUGGAUCAUGUUGUUUAAUUCGAAGAUACCCGAAAAACCUUACCAGGUCUUGACAUGUUUUUGCGAAACGGUAGUAAUAUCGUGGAGGUUAUCAGAAACACAGGUGGUGCAUGGUUGUCGUCAGCUCGUGUCGUGAGAUGUUAGGUUAAGUCCUAAAACGAGCGAAACCCUUAUCGUUAGUUGCCAGCACGUUAUGGUGGGGACUUUAACGAGACUGCCAGUGAUAAAUUGGAGGAAGGUGAGGAUCACGUCAAAUCAGCAUGCCCCUUAUGACCUGGGCUACAAACGUGAUACAAUGGCUGUUACAAAGGGUAGCUGAAACGCAAGUUCUUGGCCAAUCCCCAAAAACAGUCUCAGUCCGGAUUGAAGUCUGCAACUCGACUUCAUGAAGUU